AGAGUUUGAUCAUGGCUCAGAAUCAACGCUGGCGGCGUGCCUAACACAUGCAAGUCGAACGAGAAAGUGGAGCAAUCCAUGAGUAAAGUGGCGACCGGGUGAGUAACACGUGACUAACCUACCUCCGAGUGGGGAAUAACUCCGGGAAACCGGGGCUAAUACCGCAUAACAUCGCAAGAUCAAAGCAGCAAUGCGCUUGGAGAGGGGGUCGCGGCUGAUUAGCUAGUUGGCGGGGUAACGGCCCACCAAGGCGAAGAUCGGUAUCCGGCCUGAGAGGGCGCACGGACACACUGGAACUGAAACACGGUCCAGACUCCUACGGGAGGCAGCAGUGGGGAAUUUUGCGCAAUGGGGGAAACCCUGACGCAGCAACGCCGCGUGGAGGAUGAAGCCCUUUGGGGCGUAAACUCCUUUCGACUCGGACGAUAAUGACGGUACGAGUGGAAGAAGCACCGGCUAACUCUGUGCCAGCAGCCGCGGUAAUACAGAGGGUGCAAGCGUUGUUCGGAAUUAUUGGGCGUAAAGGGCGCGUAGGCGGUGCGGUAAGUCACCUGUGAAAUCUCCUGGCUUAACUGGGAGCCUGCAGGCGAAACUACCGUGCUGGAGUGUGGGAGAGGUGCGUGGAAUUCCCGGUGUAGCGGUGAAAUGCGUAGAUAUCGGGAGGAACACCUGUGGCGAAAGCGGCGCACUGGACCAUAACUGACGCUGAGGCGCGAAAGCUAGGGGAGCAAACAGGAUUAGAUACCCUGGUAGUCCUAGCCCUAAACGAUGAUUGCUUGGUGUAGCAGGUACCCAAUCCUGCUGUGCCGCAGCUAACGCGAUAAGCAAUCCGCCUGGGGAGUACGGUCGCAAGGCUGAACUCAAAGGAAUUGACGGGGGCCCGCACAAGCGGUGGAGCAUGUGGUUCAAUUUCGACGCAACGCGAAGAACCUUACCUGGCUCGAAGCGCAGUGACCGGGGUGGAAACAUCCCUUUCCCCUUAAAAGCUGCUGCGGAGGUGCUGCAUGGCUGUCGUCAGCCUC
rnacentral:rRNA from 1 species